rnacentral:misc_RNA from 1 species
GAUGAAGAAUGCAGCGAAAUGCGAUAAGUAAUGUGAAUUGCAGAAUUCAGUGAAUCAUCGAAUCUUUGAACGCACAUUGCGCCCCCCAGUAUUCUGGCGGGCAUGCCUGUUCGAGCGUCAUUUCAACCAUCAAGCCCUGCUUGUGUUGGGGUCCUGCGGCUGCCCGCAGGCCCUGAAAACCAGUGGCGGGCUCGCUAGUCACACCGAGCGCAGUAGCACAUCUCGCUCAGGGCGUGCGGCGGGCUCCAGCCGUUAAAGCACCCACCUUUCGCAAGGUUGACCUCGGAUCAGGUAGGAAUACCCGCUGAACUUAAGCAUAUCAAUAAGCGGAGGA